CAGGAAUGAUACCUUGAAUAUAUGUCGUGUUUGGUUCUAACGCUGGGGAUAUCAGCAAUGCAGUUCCAAUCAUAAACUGCUUAUCCACACUUGCUAGUGAGAUUUGUUUUGGGAAUUCAAAGAACAAAGGACGCACCAUAGGUGUACCAUCGACAGAAGCUGUAUGCAUUAAAGUGUACCAAUACGGCAAUAAACUGUAGCGUAUUUCGAUAGCGCUUCUAGAUGCCUCAGCGACAGAAGCCCAUCUGAACGGCUCUUGUGGAAUGGAACCUAGACUAUUAUGAUUUCUAUAAAAUGGAAGAAAAGCUCCUAAAGCCAUCCAACGCGCACAAAGCUCUUCAUCGGUAUUACCAUUAUACCCACAAACAUCUGCUCCAACCAUUGGUAUUCCCAAUAAAUUAAAAGUAAGUAUACUCGAAAUAGAGGAAACCAUAUCGGACCAUUGUGAUUUAUUAUCACCAAGCCAAUGUGCGGCAUAUCGUCCAGAACCAACAAAGGUUGAGCGGCUCAAAAGGAAAGGCCUAAUGUUUGGCUGAAUUGAAUUAAGUGCCUCAAAAGAGAUCUUGCUUUCUGAGUAGCCAUAUGUGUUGAACAAAUUAUAUCUUAAUGUAUUGCCGUGCAUUGUUGCAUUAGGACUAACGCCAAAUUGAGCCAAGUCGUGAGUCUCAGUAUCUGUGUCUAAGGCAUAAGGAGGAUAGUUGAUACUAAACUCCGGCUUUCCGUUAAUAAGAGAUUCACUUGAAGGUGUUUCAUGUGAUUUUUCAGAAGUUGCAGUGGCUUUAUAUUGACUCUGUGAAGCCCGAGAAACAGACUUGUACUCAGUCGUAUUGGUAGCAUUAAAAUCCUCGGGAUAACUGUAAACUUUAUUAUCAACAUCUCCUGGCAGAGAAAAUGGUGGAUGAACUGGAUUCAGUUUCAAAAGGUCGGACCCACAUGAACCGAUACAAAAAGAAGUUGGUUCAUUCAUGUCUAAACAAAGGCCGCUAAAUGGUAAGUCAUAUGAAUAAUUAGAGCCAAAAGCAGUAGAUAAAUUAAGUAUUCCUUGCUUCCAGUAUUGAAGAACCGCCGGAUUCGUAAAAUCGGGAUAUACAACAAAGCCUGGCCAAGCCAUACCAACAUAAGCAGACCCAUUAGGAUUUUUUAUAAAAAUAUUGUCUUCAAAACCACUAUAAUAAGGAUAGUAAGUUCUAUCAGCAGAUUUAUUAGGAUUUGCUGCAUAUAUUGCAGGAUCAAGGACUGGUACAUAAUGCUGAUGAGAUUCAUCUAAAGAGCGAAAGAAAUCUAAAGUCUGGUUAGGUGGGAAUGCGGUACUGUUAACAGUAAAAGUCCGAAAUUCACUCAUGUAAUCUAUAUCAUUCCAAAAGCCUUCGG